rnacentral:lncRNA from 1 species
GAAACAGCUGGGCAUGGUGGCGCACACCUGUAGUCUCUGCAUUCUGGGAGCGUGAGGCAGGAAGAUGCCAAGUUCAAACCCAGACUGGGCAACUUUGUGAGACACUGUACCAAAAUUUAAAAAUUAAGGGGGGUAGUCAUGGGAAUGUAGCUCAACACGAAGGCCCUGGUUUCAGACCCUAGCAUGGGGGUGGGGGCAGGAGACAGAACGGUAAAUUUUGCAAGACUUGAGAAAUGGAACCUGGCUCUUAGCAGGCCCCCGACUAUUUGAAGUGAGACCAAUGUCCCCCCUCCCAGCACACUGCCCCCAGAGGCCAGUGACUUCAUAAAAAUGCAGACCAAGUUUGCCCAGGGAGAAGGCAGAUGCCAGAAACAAAAAGUGGAAUCUUGUCCCUGCCAGGAACAAACACUUGGUGUCCAAAGAGUCACCUCGGCUUCUGUGUUCACACAGUAAACUCCAGCCCGCGUUCCCCAAGCAUGUCGGCAAGGGCUGCGGAAAAAAGAUGUCCCUUUAAUAAAACGUUAUCAACAUAUAUCGUACACAAACUACAAUGUAUCAUAAUUACUUUUUUUUCCUCUCAUAAUUCAGAACCAGACUACAAGGUAAGAAAAAACACAGAAACAGCUACAAUGUUCCCAAUAAUCCGCACAAGGUCUUUUUUCAGGCAGAUGGUAUCUCACAUAAUAUGAUAUACAUGGAUCAGAAAGGGGCGGUAAUAAAACAAAGACCAGCUACGCGGGAGGGGAGGAGGAGAGGGGAGUGUAAAUGUACAAAGAAUUCGGUGUCUUCCAGGGCAAGACAAAGGUUUCCAUGGGGGUGAGGUGUCAUGAGUCACCCCUCCUAGGUGGGGACAGGCUCCACCGUCGGGUUCAUUGAUUUUUGAAAAAUAAAAACAGGACCGGAAACAUCACAUCUGGUUUGUGGUGCUCCCCCCACCCCCCCACAGCUAUGCCAAAGUCUUCCAUCCAGUUCCAAGCAUUUACAGAGCAAUUCUGGUCAACAGCCUAUCUUUGAAAAAAGGAGGAUGAAUAAAGAGGGGGGACAAAGAAAAAAAAGAAAAAGAAAACCCAAAUUCCAGCCCACCCUGCCGCAGCGACGAUACAAGAUCACAGGCCCAGAACGCAGAGGUCCGGUUUCCAAGUCCCAGGUCAUAGCCAUCCUGUCAGUGGUGGCCUCUCCUACUCUGCUCCAGGCCACCACCCAGCAGGCAGGAUUCUCGCUGGGAAGACGGGGUGGGGCUGAGGGCCUGGAGAUGUGGGUGGCCAGGAGGGAGGCCCAGGAGGAAGAGGAAGCAGUCCUGGGGACACAGUGCAUGCGCCGGUCACAGCGGCUCGGCCGCGCAGGAAUCCUGGAGGGGGUCGGGGGGGCCUGGCCCCCGCUGGCCACACGAUGGGCUGGGUCCAGGUGUGUUGUUGUCGCCAGCCAAGCCACACAAAGCAGGGCCUGUGGUUCUUUUCUUCUUUUUUUUUUUUUUUUUGCCUUUUCUCCUUUUCUUUUUUUUUUUUUUUUAAAAGAAAGCAAAGAAGUUGACUGGAGUAGGAGCUUGCUAGAAGCUUCCAUUUGUAAAAAUUUUUCCCAAAAAAAAUCCCCCCUGAAAACAAAUUAAAAAAAAAAAAUCCCAGCAACGGUAAAACCCCAAACAAACAAAAAACAACAACAAAAGUGUCAUGUACAGAAAAGGUCCUUUUGGGAAAGGGCAGGGGGUGGGAUUUUCCAGGUCAUUGACUUGAAAUAUAUUUUUGAGUUUUGUCCUUCAUGUUUUAUGGAAUAAAAAGUUCAGCUUUUUUAUUGUAUGAAAUUAAAAUUGGAAAAGGUGGGGACGUGGAGGAGAGGGUUGAGAAGAUUUGGGAGACGCCCUCCCCCAGCUCCUGGUAAUGACACCUCACUUCUUGCAUAAUUUCUGGCAUCUUCCCGCCUGCAAGGCUGGCUCUCUCAGCUUCCUGGAGAAGGGGGUCACACACUCAUCGUCAUGCUUGGAGAAUACUGGAGAGAAGCAGAGGAUGGAGACACUGUGAGCAGGCCAUAGGUGGCACAGAGCUCAAGAGGAUAGGCUGAGCACAGGACGGCACUUGGUGGACCAGUGGCUGGGAGGCUCAGGAUGAGGGCACGGAGGUGGAAGCUCAGGGCCACCUGGCCGACCAACCUGGGCCCCUGUCAGGAGCAAUGGCAGCAAUGUGACCUCCCCAGCUCUUCCCCCGAGUCACACCUUCUGGAAACUGGGACUGCA